rnacentral:rRNA from 1 species
UACGGAGGGUGCAAGCGUUAUCCGGAUUCACUGGGUUUAAAGGGUGCGUAGGUGGGCAGGUAAGUCAGUGGUGAAAUCUCCGAGCUUAACUCGGAACUGCCGUUGAUACUAUUUGUCUUGAAUAUUGUGGAGGUAAGCGGAAUAUGUCAUGUAGCGGUGAAAUGCUUAGAUAUGACAUAGAACACCAAUUGCGAAGGCAGCUUACUACACAACGAUUGACGCUGAGGCACGAAAGCGUGGGGAUCAAAACAGG